CAGCUGCAGCUCAGCCGAGCUCACCAUGCGGCCCCCCAUGCGGUACCCCGACGAGCCGGCCCCCCGAGGGCUGGAAGGGCACGAGUUUGCGGCGCUGACAAGAAGACAGAGAGACAACAACACAAAGUCAAGGAAUUCAACACCCGCCAGUCGAGCGUCUUUUACGAUUGCGAAGAAAGGUUAUGUAUCCAGCAGACGUUCGACUCCCAUUCCAGUACGGUUCUGCUUUGAGCAGAAGUGGUGACUGGUUUCAAGGAGAAUGACAACCACACAAGAUCCACUUCACUGCCAACAGAAGAAUAAAAUAAGAUGUGGAUGUUUUGAUUGGAAUAGUAUGUCCAGUGUUCCGAAUGCAUUUCCCUAAUGGGGGGGGGGGGGGGGAAAAGAUUUAAGGAUUUUGAGUUACACUCCCCUGAAUUUUGAUGACAUCAUCUUUAAAUAACACAACAGAAAGCAUCUUAGUAUGACCAAUGAUCCUGAAAUAUGAAACAAGAGUCCCUUUAUCGUCACAGGACCAUCAUGGCCAAACGUGUCUUCUUUUCAAAUGCAUAAAUUACUGCAAUUGUUAUGUUUACAUCACCAACAUGUAGCGU